rnacentral:lncRNA from 1 species
CACUUGACCCCACAGCACAAUUGGAAAGAGGCCGUGCACCCCUGCACGGGCCCCUGAGCCCCUGCGAAGGGCAGGAAAGGCGAGAUUACCAUUCUUGGGGGGACGGCAUUGGGGCAUCCAUGCUGAGGGACGUGGGAGGAGGGGGAGGACCCGGGUCGGGGCGUGGACGAGGCGGGAGGCGGCCUGCUGGUGGGACAACUCAGGUCUGUCCGCCUGACCACGCGGCAGGCCAGGCUGCACACGGCGUAGUAGCAGUGGCCCGAGAGGUCGGUCUCUUCGUAAAUGAUGGAUCCUGGAACAUGAAGAAGCAGGUGGGAGCUCCCAGGCCAGCAGCUGACGCCUAGGCGGGGCUUUCGCCAGGACCACACUGAGAGGGAUCCAACCAGGCUGCUGGUACACUGGGUGUACCAGCUGGGUGGGACUGGCAGGGGGCCUUCCACCCAGAUAGGAAUCGCAAACCCUCACAGAUGCCUUCGUGGGUCCUGCAGGCAGAGCCCAGCCCCUCGGACUCCCAUCAGACACACAGCCUUCAAGAACACAACAGCACCGGCCAGGCACAUAAGCACACGUCACACACCAGGCAGAUCACCCACCUGCGGGGUACAGCCUGUCGGACACGCUGCAAUAGCAAGUCUGGCUGGAGGGUGAUGGGGAGCUGGUGGAUGUCGCCAGAGACUGAGUAACCGUGGGCUCAUGGGGAGACAAGGGCGGGGUAAAAGGAGACGAGGGGGAGCGGCUUGGCUGCACAGAGGUUGCACUGGUGGUUGGAACAGAGCCUGAGCUGCUUGACUGCACAGAGGUUGCACUGGUGGUUGGCGCUGAGCUGGAGCUGCUUGACUGCACAGAGGUUGCACUGGUGGUUGGAACAGAGCCUGAGCUGCUUGACUGCACAGAGGUUGCACUGGUGGUUGGAACAGAGCCUGAGCUGCUUGACUGCACAGAGGUUGCACUGGUGGUUGGAACAGAGCCUGAGCUGCUUGACUGCACAGAGGUUGCACUGGUGGUUGGAACAGAGCCUGAGCUGCUUGACUGCACAGAGGUUGCACUGGUGGUUGGAACAGAGCCUGAGCUGCUUGACUGCACAGAGGUUGCACUGGUGGUUGGAACAGAGCCUGAGCUGCUUGACUGCACAGAGGUUGCACUGGUGGUUGGAACAGAGCCUGAGCUGCUUGACUGCACAGAGGUUGCACUGGUGGUUGGAACAGAGCCUGAGCUGCUUGACUGCACAGAGGUUGCACUGGUGGUUGGAACAGAGCCUGAGCUGCUUGACUGCACAGAGGUUGCACUGGUGGUUGGAACAGAGCCUGAGCUGCUUGACUGCACAGAGGUUGCACUGGUGGUUGGAACAGAGCCUGAGCUGCUUGACUGCACAGAGGUUGCACUGGUGGUUGGAACAGAGCCUGAGCUGCUUGACUGCACAGAGGUUGCACUGGUGGUUGGAACAGAGCCUGAGCUGCUUGACUGCACAGAGGUUGCACUGGUGGUUGGCGCUGAGCUGGAGCUGCUUGACUGCACAGAGGUUGCACUGGUGGUUGGAGCAGAGCCUGAGCUGCUUGGCUGCACAGAGGUGGUGCUGGGUAUUGGCGUUGAGCUGGAGCUGCUUGACCUCACAGAGGUUGCACUGGUGGUUGGCACCGAGCUGGAGCUGCUUGGCUGCACAGAGGUGGUGCUGGGUAUUGGCGUUGAGCUGGAGCUGCUUGACCUCACAGAGGUUGCACUGGUGGUUGGCACCGAGCUGGAGCUGCUUGGCUGCACAGAGGUGGUGCUGGGUAUUGGCGUUGAGCUGGAGCUGCUUGACCUCACAGAGGUUGCACUGGUGGUUGGCACCGAGCUGGAGCUGCUUGGCUGCACAGAGGUGGUGCUGGGUAUUGGCGUUGAGCUGGAGCUGCUUGACCUCACAGAGGUUGCACUGGUGGUUGGCACCGAGCUGGAGCUGCUUGGCUGCACAGAGGUGGUGCUGGGUAUUGGCGUUGAGCUGGAGCUGCUUGACCUCACAGAGGUUGCACUGGUGGUUGGCACCGAGCUGGAGCUGCUUGGCUGCACAGAGGUGGUGCUGGGUAUUGGCGUUGAGCUGGAGCUGCUUGACCUCACAGAGGUUGCACUGGUGGUUGGCACCGAGCUGGAGCUGCUUGGCUGCACAGAGGUGGUGCUGGGUAUUGGCGUUGAGCUGGAGCUGCUUGACCUCACAGAGGUUGCACUGGUGGUUGGCACCGAGCUGGAGCUGCUUGGCUGCACAGAGGUGGUGCUGGGUAUUGGCGUUGAGCUGGAGCUGCUUGACCUCACAGAGGUUGCACUGGUGGUUGGCACCGAGCUGGAGCUGCUUGGCUGCACAGAGGUGGUGCUGGGUAUUGGCGUUGAGCUGGAGCUGCUUGACCUCACAGAGGUUGCACUGGUGGUUGGCACCGAGCUGGAGCUGCUUGGCUGCACAGAGGUGGUGCUGGGUAUUGGCGUUGAGCUGGAGCUGCUUGACCUCACAGAGGUUGCACUGGUGGUUGGCACCGAGCUGGAGCUGCUUGGCUGCACAGAGGUGGUGCUGGGUAUUGGCGUUGAGCUGGAGCUGCUUGACCUCACAGAGGUUGCACUGGUGGUUGGCACCGAGCUGGAGCUGCUUGGCUGCACAGAGGUGGUGCUGGGUAUUGGCGUUGAGCUGGAGCUGCUUGACCUCACAGAGGUUGCACUGGUGGUUGGCACCGAGCUGGAGCUGCUUGGCUGCAUCUUUUCUCCGCUUCGGAGGAUAUUGCUGUAGGUCUCAAAGUCUCCUCCGUGGGGCCCGGGGGACGGGAAGUCCACGUCGAACCACUUGGACCAGGAGCACUGGGGCCGACACGGCGUGGGGCUGCGUGAGGAAGAGGUGGACCCAGGAACAGAGGUCGAGGUUGCACUGGUGGUGGGCGCUGAGCUGGAGCUGCUUGUCUGCACAGAGGUUGCACUGGUGGUUGGAGCUGAGCUGGAGCUGCUUGGCUGCACCGAGGUGGUGCUGGGUAUUGGAGUUGAGCUGGAGCUGCUUGUGUGCACAGAGGUUGCACUGGUGGUUGGAGCAGAGCCGGAGCUGCUUGGCUGCACCGAGGUGGUGCUGGGUAUUGGCGUUGAGCGGGAGCUGCUUGGCUGCACCGAGGUGGUGCUGGGUAUUGGCGUUGAGCUGGAGCUGCUUGGCUGCACAGAGGUUGCACUGGUGGUUGGUGAUGAGCUGGAGCUGCUUGGCUGCACCGAGGUGGUGCUGGGUAUUGGCGUUGAGCUGGAGCUGCUUGACCUCACAGAGGUUGCACUGGUGGUUGGAGCUGAGCUGGAGCUGCUUGGCUGCACAGAGGUGGUGCUGGUGGUGGGCACUGAGCUGGAGCUGCUUGGCUGCACAGAGAUGGUGCUGGAUAUUGGAGGUGAGCUGGAGUUGCUUGGCUGCACAGAGGUUGCACUGGUGGUUGGCGCUGAGCUGGAGCUGCUUGGCUGCACAGAGGUGGUGCUGCUCGUGGCCCCAUGGGAGCUGGUCUCAGGGGGGCUGGUGACCCUCACGCUGGUGGUGGUGGGAAGUGUGAUCGGGCUGACAGGGCAGUCUUUCUUGGGCUCACAGCAGAGCACACGCACCUCAUAGUUGAGGCAGAUCCUGAACUUGCCCCCCUGGUCCUGGUUCCUGCACACCAGGCCCACCUCCGGCCUGCACUCCACCACCUGGCCCAGCUUCUGGAUGCUGACCUCGGGGUGGUUCUGGGCUCGGCACUGCAGGUCGCUGAUGUACUCAGGUUGCCGGCAGAUCUUUUCUCCGCUUCGGAGGAUAUUGCUGUAGGUCUCAAAGUCUCCUCCGUGGGGCCCGGGGGACGGGAAGUCCACGUCAAACCACUUGGACCAGGAGCACUGGGGCCGACAUGGCGUGGGGCUGGGUGGUGUUGGCCCGUGCCAGCUAGAUGUGAUGCUGGAGGCUGUGGGUGUGUGUCCUGAGGUGGCAGUGCUGUGCUGUGUGGAAGGCGACACCACCCCUGGGGUCCAGGCACUGCUGCUCUGUCGUGUGCUCUCAGGUGUGAAAGGCUCUGUUGUACUUCUCAGGCACGUGUCUACCAUCUCGCAGCACAGGAUCCGUAUUUCGUAGUUGUAGCAGAUGGGGGGCAGCUGGUCUUUGUUCAGGCAAACCAGCCCCACGGUUUUGUCACAGAUCACGUCCUGCCCUAGGGCCUGCAGCGGGGUAUCAGGGAAGCUCUCGGCCCGGCAUUCCACGUUCACGGGCUUGGCACAGAAUCUGUAUCCCUUGGCUCUCAGAUUCUGAAAAGUAUCAAAAUCGCCACUGUUUCUGUCUGGUCCGGGGUAGCUGCCGUCAAUCCACUUGGUCCACGUGCAGGAUUCUUGUAAACAGGUGACUGGGCUGGGCUCGUGUGAGGUGGGCUUACUUGGGACCACAGAGGUUGUUGUUGAAACUGCUGUCGUGCUGGGAGUCCAGAUGGUUGUUUUCACAGUUGUGGAAGUACCUGGGACAGGUGUAAGGGAACCUGGGCCAGAGGUAGAGGCACCUGCGGCAGGUGUAGGGGUUCCUGGGCCAGAGGUAGAGGUACCUGGGGCAGGUGUAGGGGUUCCUGGGCCAGAGGUAGAGGUACCUGGGCCAGAGGUAGAGAUACUUGGGGUAGGUGUAGGGCUACCUGGGGCAGGUGUAGGGGUACCUGGGCCAGGUGUAGGGGUUCCUGGGCCAGAGGUAGAGGUACCUGGGGCAGGUGUAGGGGUCCCUGGGCCAGGUGUAGGGCUACCUGGGACAGGUGUAGGGGUGCCUGGGCCAGGUGUAGGGGUUCCUGGGCCAGAGGUAGAGGUACCUGGGGCAGGGGUAGGGGUACCUGGGCCAGGUGUAGGGCUACCUGGGCCAGGUGUAGGGGUGCCUGGGCCAGGUGUAGGGGUUCCUGGGCCAGAGGUAGAGGUACCUGGGCCAGAGGUAGAGGUACCUGGGGCAGGGGUAGGGGUACCUGGGCCAGGUGUAGGGCUACCUGGGCCAGGUGUAGGGGUGCCUGGGCCAGGUGUAGGUGUUCCUGGGCCAGAGGUAGAGGUACCUGGGGCAGGUGUAGGGCUACCUGGGGCAGGUGUAGGGCUACCUGGGCCAGGUGUAGAGGUACCUGAGAUGGGUGUAGGGGUACCCGGGCCAGGUGUUAUGCUCGUUGUAGGGACAGUGGUUGGGCCAGUCAUGGUGACAGGGACUGAGGAAGCUGUGCUCCCCGUCAGCACAGAGGUGAACCCGCUGGUUCCUGGCGUGGGCCCGGUUUCAGUUGUGUUGAAGGCUGGAGGGGGAGAGGUCGCUGUGCUGCCUGGAGGGCAGGCCCUGGGUGAGCAGCACAGGAUCCUGAUCUGAUAGUUGUCGCAGUGCCCCGAGGGCUGGUCCCUGUUGUAACAGAUCAGCCCCACCGUCGGGCUGCACUCCACGCGCUGGCCCAGGGCUCGGAGGGGCACCCCCGGGGCAUCCUCAGCUUGGCACUCCACGGCGCUGGGCGCACGGCAGACCCGGUACCCAUGGGCACGGAGGUUUUCCAGCGUGUCGAAGUCACCGCUGUCUAUGCCCAGUCCCGGACGGCUGACAUCCAGCCAUGGCGACCACAGGCACUCCUCCCCACAGUGGGGUGUGGGUCCGGGGGGUGUGCCUGGGGUGGUGAGCGAGGCCCUGCUUGGCGUGUGUGUCGAGCUCGUGGCAGGGGUGGGGCGCGUGCUGGGCGGAAGCGUGGAGCUGACAACUGAGGGCAGGAGAGAGAUAGGGCGGGCGUCAGGGCUCCCCGGGGCUCUUGAGGCCCCCUGCGCUGCCCCCUCCAUCCCGCCGUCUCUGCCCAGGAUGGUA